UAAUCUCAAACCGACGCCCGCACUUUCCACCUUUUAUACCAAACUAUAACAAACAAACGCUCUCUCUCUAUAUUUUUGUGUUUGGGAAUCAGUGAGUUUGUUGGAGAAAUGCAGGCGAGGUGGGAGUCAUCACAGUCUCCGAGUUUCAAUAGUUACUCUAAUAAGAAUUUGGCUGAAAUUGCUGAUAGAGUUGUGCAAGAGUUCCGGGCUGAAAAUGGAACAGAUGAGGAAUUUUUGUUGAUGAUGAUGGAGGUUUGAGUUGCUUUGAGAGUGGAGGAAGAUUGAAUGAGAAAGAGGAGGAACAAGGAAAUGAAGAUGAAGAUGAAUUUGAGUUUUCAUUUGUAAAACAGUCUGAAAUUUCACCUGUUGCGGCUGAUGAAAUCUUCUAUAAUGGACAGAUCCGUCCAAUUUACCCGCUUUUCAAUAGGGAUUUAUUGUCGGAUUUCAUGAAUGGUAGAUCUAAUUCGAAUUCAACGUCGGAGGAGAUUUCUUCUGCUGGACCGAAAUCAAUUAGGCUUCCGUUACGGAAGCUUUUCAUGGAAGAAGAGCGAGAAGCUAACUUCUCGUGCUCGUCAUCGGAAGCCGAUGAUCUGGAAGGGAUUCCUGAGGGAACGUACUGCACGUGGAGGCCUAAACCGGAGGAAAAAUCUGCCGGAAGUUGUAAGAAGAGCAGCUCCACAGGCUCCUCAAAACGCUGGAAGUUUCGUGACCUCCUCUACCGGAGCAAUAGCGACGGUAAGGAUACUUUCGUCUUUUUGACUCCUUCGUUCAGAAAGAAGGAAAACAAAGCAGAGAAGACGACGAUUGAUAAUGCACCAAAAGUUACCGCAAAAUCAAAGGGAAUUCCAGUGGCUGAUGGUUACCCGGCGAUGCAUUACGUGAAGAACGGAGGCGGCGAGAAAAGGAAAACAUACUUACCGUACAGGCAAGAUCUAGUCGGAUUUUUCGCUAACACGAACGGAACGAGUCGGAAUGUAAUGCCAUUGUGAUGUGAAUACGUGAUUAAUUAAUUAAGCUCCUUAUUAAUUAUGAUUACGUAGUUGAUUUGCUGGUUUUGGAGUGAUCAUGUAAGGAUUUAGAUUGAUUAAAUUAGAGUGUAAAUGAUGAUUAGAUCAUGAAUCGAUUGUCUGUAAAUAUCUGGAUAAGUUUUGUCCUUAUCCCAUUUGAUGAAUUAUAAAUGAAAUUUUCGUACUAGUAUAAAUUAUUUCUUAAUUCCAUUUAA